AGAAUCCCGUAUGUGACUGGGUGCCGCUGCUCAUGUGAAGCUCCUUCGACGAGUCGAGUUGUUUGGGAAUGCAGCUCAAAAUGGGUGGUAAAUUUCAUCUAAAGCUAAAUACUGGCCAGAGACCGAUAGCGCACAAGUAGAGUGAUCGAAAGAUGAAAAGCACUUUGGAAAGAGAGUUAAACAGUACGUGAAAUUGUUGAAAGGGAAGCGCUUGCAACCAGACUUGCGCGCAGUUGAUCAUCCGGUGUUCUCACCGGUGCACUCGGCUGCGCUCAGGCCAGCAUCAGUUCUGGUGGUUGGAUAAAGGCCCUGGGAAUGUAGCUCCUCUCGGGGAGUGUUAUAGCCCAGGGUGCAAUGCAUCCUACCGGGACUGAGGACCGCGCUUCGGCUAGGAUGCUG
rnacentral:rRNA from 1 species